rnacentral:rRNA from 1 species
AUUGAACGCUGGCCGCAGGCCUAACACAUGCAAGUCGAACGAGUGGCGGACGGGUGAGUAAUGUCUGGGAAACUGCCUGAUGGAGGGGGAUAACUACUGGAAACGGUAGCUAAUACCGCAUACCAUCAGAUGUGCCCAGAUGGGAUUAGCAAGUAGGUGAGGUAACGGCUCACCUAGGCGACGAUCCCUAGCGGGUCUGAGAGGAUGACCAGCCACACUGGAACGGGGACACGGUCCCGCCUCCUACGGAGGGCGGCAGUGGGGAAUAUUGCACAAUGGGCGCAAGCCUUAUGCGGCCAUGCCGCGUGUUUGAAGAAGGCCUUCGAGUUGUAAAGUACUUUCAGCGAGGAGGCGUUACCCGCAGAAGAAGCACCGGCUAACUCCGUGCCAGCCGCCGCGGUAAUAC